GACGAACGCUGGCGGCGUGCUUAACACAUGCAAGUCGAACGGUGAAGCGCCUUCCUUUUUGGUGGGUGUGGAUGAGUGGCGAACGGGUGAGUAACACGUGAGUAACCUGCCCCCUUCUUCUGGAUAACCGCAUGAAAGUGUGGCUAAUACGGGAUAUUCUGGGUCUGUCGCAUGAUGGGUCUGGGAAAGAUAUUGUUUUGGUGGGGGAUGGGCUCGCGGCCUAUCAGCUUGUUGGUGGGGUGAUGGCCUACCAAGGCGGUGACGGGUAGCCGGCCUGAGAGGGUGGGCGGUCACACUGGGGAUGGGGCACGGGCCAGACUCCUACGGGAGGCAGCAGUGGGGAAUAGUGGACAAUGGGGGGAAGGCUGAUGCAGCGACGCCGCGGGAGGGAUGGAGGCCUUCGGGUUGUGAACCUCUUUCGCCAGUGAAGCAGGCCUGCCUCGUUUGUGGGUGGGUUGACGGUAGCUGGAUAAGAAGCGCCGGCUAACUACGUG
rnacentral:rRNA from 1 species